rnacentral:rRNA from 1 species
UACGUAGGUGGCAAGCGUUGUCCGGAAUUAUUGGGCGUAAAGCGCGCGCAGGCGGCCUCUUAAGUCUGAUGUGAAAGCCCCCGGCUCAACCGGGGAGGGCCAUUGGAAACUGGGAGGCUUGAGUAUAGGAGAGAAGAGUGGAAUUCCACGUGUAGCGGUAGAAAUGCGUAGAGAUGUGGAGGAACACCAGUGGCGAAGGCGACUCUUUGGCCUAUAACUGACGCUGAGGCGCGAAAGCGUGGGGAGCAAACAGGA